AUGAAAUGUUUGUCGAGAAGGGUUGUAGCUGGCCUCCAGGGGCAUGUGCACACCCUGAUCGCAUCCACCUCCCACACCUGUGCACCGCCUGUAGCUUGGGAUGAUCACGGAGCCCUGAUGGGCGACGAAUGCCCUCGUCUAUGAAUAUUCUCACACACGCUCAAAGUAUGACAGAAUGUAUAUCAUAUUGCGUCUGAUAAACGCGACAAAUA
rnacentral:misc_RNA from 1 species